rnacentral:rRNA from 1 species
AUGCGAGUUGUUGGAGCAGACGCAAAGUCCUUCAAUGGCACAACGCUUUUUGAUGAUGUUGGGACUUCCACUGAUACCGAGAACCUUGUUAGUCCAUUCGUUGGAGAAGAGCCCCUCUGGGUCGUACCUAUCUUUCACCCUAAGAAACUCAUGAACUUUUGGGUACUUCGUGAUUGCACCAUCGAAGGCGAAAUUACGGCUCUUACCCCAGUGCGGGAUGCCGCCGUACUUAUGCAACGCCAUUUGCUCGAUCUCGUCCACCAUAUCGGCAUGCGCACGCGGCAUGCCUUCGGUAUGGCUCCGGUAAAAGAUGAUGUCGACACCGAUCGAGUCCUCCGGCUUGCCAAGAUAAGCGGAUGA